rnacentral:tmRNA from 1 species
GGGGGCGUUUGGUUUCGACGGGGGUGGCAGAGGUAAGAGCUGCAGGUCGAGCUUUCCGACUCGUAAAACCGGAAGCGUAAAUAUAAACGCCAAUAACGAAUACGCAUACGCUGCUUAAUUAAAAGCGGCGCAUCCUACCCGGUGGUUCCCGGCUGCUGGGAUCUAGGGUGUCAUAAUUCCGGGAUCUUCCUGCAGUGUUGCUUUGGCACUGUAGGAGAAACUCACAAAGCUGGCCUGCUUUAAUCCAGCCCUCAGGAGUAAAGCAGGUGAGAUGCAAAAUGAGGGAUAAACCUGUAGACGCUUUUAUCGAUGUACCUUCGGACAGGGGUUCGAUUCCCCUCGCCUCCACCA